rnacentral:rRNA from 1 species
CCUACGGGAGGCAGCAGUGAGGAAUAUUGGUCAAUGGGCGGAAGCCUGAACCAGCCAAGUCGCGUGAGGGAAGACUGCCCUAUGGGUUGUAAACCUCUUUUGUCAGGGAGCAACGCCGGCUACGUGUAGCCGGACUGAGAGUACCUGAAGAAAAAGCACCGGCUAACUCCGUGCCAGCAGCCGCGGUAAUACGGAGGAUGCGAGCGUUAUCCGGAUUACUUGGGUUGAAGGGGUGCGUAGGCGGAAUGCCAAGUCAGCGGUAAAACCGCGGGGCUCAACCUCGCUCCGCCGUUGAAACUGGCGUUCUUGAGUGGGCGAGAGGUAUGCGGAAUGCGUGGUGUAGCGGUGAAAUGCAUAGAUAUCACGCAGAACUCCGAUUGCGAAGGCAGCAUACCGGCGCCCAACUGACGCUGAGGCACGAAAGCGUGGGUAUCGAACAGGAUUAGAUACCCUUGUAGUC